CUUAUCAGGUUGUAUUAUCAUU
rnacentral:miRNA from 4 species